rnacentral:lncRNA from 1 species
AUGACCAGUGCCGCCCCCGCCCCUGCUAAGAAACCCUACCGUAAGGCACCACCAGAGCAUCGGGAGCUGCGAUUGGAAAUUCCUGGAUCCCGGCUUGAGCAGGAGGAACCCCUGACUGACGCAGAAAGGAUGAAGCUCUUGCAGCAGGAGAAUGAAGAGCUUCGCCGGCGCCUGGCCUCCGCCACCAGACGCACUGAGGCCCUGGAACGUGAGCUGGAAAUCGGGCAGGACUGCCUGGAGCUGGAGCUGGGCCAGAGCCGCGAGGAGCUGGACAAAUUUAAGGAUAAGUUCCGCAGGCUGCAGAACAGCUACACAGCUUCCCAGCGGACCAACCAGGAGUUGGAGGACAAGCUGCACACACUGAUCAAGAAGGCUGAGAUGGAUAGGAAGACGCUGGACUGGGAGAUUGUGGAGCUGACCAACAAGCUGCUGGAUGCCAAGAACACCAUUAACAAGCUGGAAGAGCUCAACGAGCGGUACCGACUGGACUGCAACCUGGCUGUGCAGCUCCUCAAGUGCAACAAGUCCCACUUCCGAAACCACAAGUUUGCUGAUCUGCCCUGUGAGCUACAGGACAUGGUUCGGAAACAUCUGCACAGUGGUCAAGAGGCUGCCAGCCCAGGUCCUGCUCCCAGCCUAGCCCCAGGGGCUGUGGUGCCUACCUCGGUCAUUGCCCGAGUGUUAGAGAAGCCGGAGUCUCUACUGCUCAAUUCAGCCCAGUCAGGCAGCGCCGGGCGCCCCUUGGCUGAGGAUGUCUUUGUGCAUGUGGACAUGAGCGAGGGUGUCCCAGGUAAUCCAGCCAGUCCCCCGGCCCCUGGCAGCCCCACCCCGCAACCCAAUGGGGAGUGCCACUCUCUGGAUACUGCCAGGGGCUCCCCGGAGGAAGAGCUGCCCCUGCCAGCCUUUGAGAAGCUGAGCCCCUACCCAACCCCAUCUCCACCACACCCACUGUAUCCUGGCCGCAGGGUAAUAGAGUUCUCUGAGGAUAAGGUUCGGAUCCCCCGCAACAGCCCCCUGCCCAACUGCACUUACGCUACCCGCCAGGCCAUUUCACUGAGCCUGGUGGAGGAGGGGAGUGAGCGGGCCCGCCCUAGCCCAGUGCCCAGUACCCCUGCCUCAGCCCAGGCCUCACCCCACCACCAGCCCAGCCCAGCGCCCCCAACACUCAGUGCCCCAGCUAGCUCUGCCAGCUCUGAAGAGGACCUGCUGGCCAGCUGGCAGCGGGCAUUUGUGGACCGUACUCCGCCACCUGCCGCUGUGGCCCAGCGCACAGCCUUUGGACGCGACGCCCUCCCUGAGCUGCAGCGCCAUUUUGCCCAUAGCCCCGCUGACAGAGAUGAGGUGGUCCAGGCACCUUCUCCCCGACCGGAAGAGAGUGAACUUUUGCUACCCAUAGAACCUGACUCUGGCUUUCCCAGGGAGGAGGAAGAAGAGCUGAACCUGCCCAUCAGCCCUGAGGAAGAGCGCCAGAGCCUGCUGCCCGUUAACAGUGGCACAGAGGAGGGGUCAGGCACUUCCCACACUGAGGGCAGGGCCUGGCCACUCCCCAGCUCCAGCCGCCCCCAGCGCAGCCCCAAGAGGAUGGGGGUUCACCACCUGCACCGCAAGGACAGCCUCACCCAGGCCCAGGAGCAGGGCAACCUGCUCAACUAGGGCCUCUGGUGGCCUUCCUGCCAUUGCUGCACUGGGACUGCAAGGAGGCCCCAUACCUUGGCAGCUCAGGGUCCCCAGUCCAAGGCCUUGAUCUCUCCCCAAUCCAUACCUGCACAGCUGUUCCCUGUGUGGGUGGGGUCAGGUGGUGGGCCAUGCCAGGCCUGUCAGCUGCGUUGACUGACCACGGCAGCUUGCCUCAUGGUUUUCCCCUUUUCUUAGAAUAUUUAUUCUCCACAGUAACAUGCAGUUGGGUCUCAAGACCUUUUCUCCAAUCAGCCCAACCCAGCCCAGACUGGGCUGUUCUGGGGAGCUGAGGAGUUUAUCAGUAUUCAUCUUCCAUUCUCCUUUCAUAGUCACAAGUUUUGUUAUUUUGUUUCUUUUGGGGGGUGGUGGUGUAAUUGUUAACUUCAUUUCUGUUUCCUACCUGUUUGCUUUCCCCCCCAAUCCUCCGCAUGAGCUGUUGCCCUCCGGGGGCCCGGCACAGCUGGCCUUGGGGACCAGAGAGAGGACUGACUCAGGGCCCCCUCAGCUGUCUCUUCCCUCUCUCUGGAAAGGAGGUGGGGCUCAGGGGCCUCAAGCUGCGCUCUGGGUGAGGCCUGGCCUCUACUCCCAACCUUGGCUCUAGACUGUUACUCCAAGCUUUGGGAAAUUUUCACAUUGAUGACUAUUUUAAAAUCAAAUAAAACUAUUUUACUGGUAUGGCCUAACUUGUCU